GAACGCGUUGAGCAGACGGGAACUUUAAAAGUAACGACGACGGAUUGGUUCUUCACGCAGGCUCGAGGAGGCCAGUGAUGUGCCUACGUCUACUUUCGACGGAACCAUUUCUAGUCAGGAUGAAGAACUCACCGAUACGCCAGUGUCGCUCCACGCUAAUAAUGGGACAGUCCCAUUCGGACGUGGUUCAUCGUGCACCCAGCAAUCUGACUGUGACGACGCCCUGGUCUGUCUGCCGUCCAACACCUGUGGCUGUCCGGAACUCGCACCCGUGAUGCUGCAGGAAGCGGACGGCGUCGUAUGCGUCUCGACCCGGCGGUUGAGCGAGCCCUGUCUGACCGACGCCGAGUGCAGGCACGGCAACGAACACGCACGGUGUCUGGAUUCGACAUGCAGCUGCCAGUCUCGUUUCUACGCCUCCAUCGACGGAUCUCUCUGUUUGGCCGGUGAGGGGUGAAUAGUUGCUGGCUGCUUCUUAAGAGCUCACUGUGACCCACUUUGGAAGGUUUCCGCAGAUUGGGCUUUCCCGCUGCACAUCGAGCAGAGCCCCCGAGGAGGCGCUUCCCCACAAAGCCCAGGGCAUAUCGGAACACGUUGCCUUUGGCCAGAAACGUGUCUGGGCGUGUUUGCGCGUUCGCGGACAUGCGCACUUUGCAGAUUUCCUUUGCUCAUAACAUUCAUCUCUAACAUUUUCUUCCUUUCUUGUUUUCUUUCUGUUGAGUCAGUUGCGGACUCGAAAAGCUAAAACGCUGUAAAGCCGUAUCUGUGUCACUGGCGACUGCUAGCAGCAUAAAGAUUUUAUAAACGCAUUAGGUUAGAAAAAAAAAAACACUAGUCAGGUCAAAAGUUAAUUGGCGUUUCGGAGCACACGUGUUUUUUUUUUUUUUUUUUCAUGGGGACAUCGAGCGAAGCAAGCCAUGGGGGUGAGGUAUUAGCGAUAAAGUAAUGCUGGUGGAAAGGGCACAGUGAUAUAUUAGUGUGCAUGUUGGAAGCUUUCUGAAGGCUGGGAGCAGGCUCCGAGUGUCGAAUCGUCGUGCCAGGUAAUCUUGGCAGGUUUAGAAAGGCGCCCCAAGACAAUCCCAGAGAGCUCUUAACAGCUACGUAAGGAAAAAAGGCGAGACGCGCAGCCGUGGAAGCAGUGCCUCGCUGGCCGAAGGGGUAAGGCGGAAGAAACGAUGUGACAGUGGCGGUGACAGUGUAUCGCAACGUCUAUAAUGUCAUUGUGAGCAGUGGAAUUUUGCACAAGUGCGGCUAUCUAAACUUCAAUUAACUCGUAGCUUGAUAAACCGUCGAAAGACUUCUUUUUCUUUUUCUUUUCCUAAUGUGCUACCUGGCCGAAACGAGUUUUUCUCUAACUCUUAACUCGGCGCUUAGGUUGUUAGCAAUUUUGUUUCCACUGAAGCGUAACUAUGUAUGCCGUCCUUCUGACGAAUAAAUCAUUUGUUGAUAGCUUACUAUUGAUAUUGACACGUGUACUUAUAUUUAACGGGCGACCACAUUCGCCGGCUAACAAAUGUUAUCGCACAGCGCUGGACGCGUCUGCAUGUAUCCGAAGUUUCUGGAAAGUUAUCGAUGCUUCUAUCCGCUGUUUGUUGUCGCCGAACCUUGUGUUAUCUGAUUUCAUCGCGUGACUCGAAUGUUGUAGAACUUUGUGGAAGGCAUGCGGGUCCCAGCGAUUAGUCUGGAACAUUCGAUGGCUGCUGUAUAAAAACCGACGCACUUGACCCGCUGAGCAGAUUUUCGACGAUCGCCGACUGUGUUCGCCGCUAUCGUUGUGCUUUAAGUGUAGCCUGUUUUGUGGGCACAGGUUCGCCCAAUAAAAGCUAGUUUUGUC